ACUCCUACGGGAGGCAGCAGUGGGGAAUUUUGGACAAUGGGNGAAAGCCUGAUCCAGCNAUGCCGCGUGUGUGAAGAAGGCCUUCGGGUUGUAAAGCACUUUUGUCCGGAAAGAAAUCCUUGGCUNUAAUACAGUCGGGGNAUGACGGNACCGGAAGAAUAAGCACCGGCUAACUCC
rnacentral:rRNA from 1 species